rnacentral:rRNA from 1 species
GUUGCGCUAAUACCGCAUAUUCUGUGAGCAGGAAAGCAGGGGACCGCAAGGCCUUGCGCUCUUUGAGCGGCCGAUGUCAGAUUAGCUAGUUGGUGAGGUAAAGGCUUACCAAGGCGACGAUCUGUAGCGGGUCUGAGAGGAUGAUCCGCCACACUGGAACUGAGACACGGUCCAGACUCCUACGGGAGGCAGCAGUGGGGAAUUUUGGACAAUGGGGGCAACCCUGAUCCAGCCAUGCCGCGUGAGUGAAGAAGGCCUUCGGGUUGUAAAGCUCUUUCGGCCGGGAAGAAAUCGCAUGGGCCAAUACCCUGUGUGGAUGACGGUACCGGAAUAAGAAGCACCGGCUAACUACGUGCCAGCAGCCGCGGUAAUACGUAGGGUGCGAGCGUUAAUCGGAAUUACUGGGCGUAAAGCGUGCGCAGGCGGUUUUGUAAGACAGGCGUGAAAUCCCCGGGCUUAACCUGGGAACUGCGUUUGUGACUGCAAGGCUAGAGUACGGCAGAGGGGGGUGGAAUUCCACGUGUAGCAGUGAAAUGCGUAGAGAUGUGGAGGAACACCAAUGGCGAAGGCAGCCCCCUGGGUCGAUACUGACGCUCAUGCACGAAAGCGUGGGUAGCAAACAGGAUUAGAUACCCUGGUAGUCCACGCCCUAAACUAUGUCAACUAGGUGUUGGGUGGGUAAAACCAUUUAGUACCGUAGCUAACGCGUGAAGUUGACCGCCUGGGGAGUACGGCCGCAAGGUUAAAACUCAAAGGAAUUGACGGGGACCCGCACAAGCGGUGGAUGAUGUGGAUUAAUUCGAUGCAACGCGAAAAACCUACCUACCCUUGACAUGCCAGGAACUUGCCAGAGAUGGCUUGGUGCCCGAAAGGGAGCCUGGACACAGGUGCUGCAUGGCUGUCGUCAGCUCGUGUCGUGAGAUGUUGGGUUAAGUCCCGCAACGAGCGCAACCCUUGUCGUUAAUUGCCAUCAUUUAGUUGGGCACUUUAACGAGACUGCCGGUGACAAACCGGAGGAAGGUGGGGAUGACGUCAAGUCCUCAUGGCCCUUAUGGGUAGGGCUUCACACGUCAUACAAUGGUCGGUACAAAGGGUUGCCAAGCCGCGAGGCGGAGCCAAUCCCAGAAAGCCGAUCGUAGUCCGGAUUGCAGGCUGCAACUCGCCUGCAUGAAGUCGGAAUCGCUAGUAAUCGUGGAUCAGCAUGUCACGGUGAAUACGUUCCCGGGUCUUGUACACACCGCCCGUCACACCAUGGGAGCGGGUUCCGCCAGAAGUAGGUAGCCUAACCGCAAGGGGGGCGCUUACCACGGCGGGGUUCGUGACUGGGGUGAAGUCGUAACAAGGUA